rnacentral:rRNA from 1 species
CUACAGGGGUAUCUAAUCCUGUUUGCUCCCCACGCUUUCGCGCCUCAGCGUCAGUUACAGGCCAGCGAGCUGCCUUCGCCAUGGGUGUUCCGAUCGAUAUCUACGCAUUUCACCGCUACACCGACCAUUCCACUCGCCUCUCCCGCACUCAAGGUUCCCAGUAUGAAAGGCAGUUCCGAGGUUGAGCCUCGGAAUUUCACCCCUCACUUAAAAACCCGCCUACGCGCUCUUUACGCCCAGUAACUUCGGACAACGCUCGCCCCCUACGUAUUACCGCGGCUGCUGGCAC